UUGAACGCUGGCGGAAUGCUUUACACAUGCAAGUCGAACGGCAGCACGGGGUCAACCCUGGUGGCGAGUGGCGAACGGGUGAGUAACACAUCGGAACGUGUCCUGUAAUGGGGGAUAACUUGGCGAAAGCCAGGCUAAUACCGCAUACGUCCUGAGGGAGAAAGCGGGGGAUCGCAAGACCUCGCGUUAUAGGAGCGGCCGAUGUCGGAUUAGCUAGUUGGUGGGGUAAAGGCCUACCAAGGCGACGAUCCGUAGCGGGUCUGAGAGGACGGCCCGCCACACUGGGACUGAGACACGGCCCAGACUCCUACGGGAGGCAGCAGUGGGGAAUUUUGGACAAUGGGCGCAAGCCUGAUCCAGCCAUGCCGCGUGAGUGAAGAAGGCCUUCGGGUUGUAAAGCUCUUUCGGCCGGGAAGAAAUCGCAUCCUCUAAUACGGGGUGUGGAUGACGGUACCGGAAGAAGAAGCACCGGCUAACUACGU
rnacentral:rRNA from 1 species